CCUACGGGAGGCUGCAGUUAAGAAUCUUGCACAAUGGGGGCAACCCUGAUGCAGCGACGCCGCGUGAAUGAUGAAGGCCUUCGGGUUGUAAAGUUCAGUAAGCAGGGAAGAAUAAGCAACGGGUAAUAUUCGUUGUGAUGACGGUACCUGCCUAAAGCCCCGGCUAACUACGUGCCAGCAGCCGCGGUAAUACGUAUGGGGCGAGCGUUGUUCGGAAUAAUUGGGCGUAAGGGGCGUCUUGGCGGAGGAUGAAAAGCCAUGGGCUCAACCCGGGAACGGCAUCUAAGACUGGUUCUCUUGAGUUCGGGAGAGGAGAGCGGAAUUCCAGGUGUAGCGGUGAAAUGCGUAGAUAUCUGGAAGAACACCAGUGGCGAAGGCGGCUCUCGGGCCUAGAACUGACGCUGAAGCGCGAAAGCGUGGGGAGCGAACAGGAUUAGAUACCCAGUAGUC
rnacentral:rRNA from 1 species